UAGGGAAUCUUCGGCAAUGGACGAAAGUCUGACCGAGCAACGCCGCGUGAGUGAAGAAGGUUUUCGGAUCGUAAAACUCUGUUGUUAGAGAAGAACAAGGACGUUAGUAACUGAACGUCCCCUGACGGUAUCUAACCAGAAAGCCACGGCUAACUACGUGCCAGCAGCCGCGGUAAUACGUAGGUGGCAAGCGUUGUCCGGAUUUAUUGGGCGUAAAGCGAGCGCAGGCGGUUUCUUAAGUCUGAUGUGAAAGCCCCCGGCUCAACCGGGGAGGGUCAUUGGAAACUGGGAGACUUGAGUGCAGAAGAGGAGAGUGGAAUUCCAUGUGUAGCGGUGAAAUGCGUAGAUAUAUGGAAGAACACCAGUGGCGAAGGCGGCACUCUGGUCUGUAACUGACGCUGAGGCUCGAAAGCGUGGGGAGCAAACAGG
rnacentral:rRNA from 1 species